AGGAAACAUGUAUCGGGCUUAGGCUGAAUAACAUAAAUCAAAGCUUGAUCACAUUAACUCAAGUGGAAGUUAUACCAGCCCAAUAUGAAGUUGAACUAGUUUGUUUAAAUGGGCCAUAACUUAGGCUUCUAAUAUCCAAAUUAGCUUAUUCAAAAGCCUAACCUUAUCUACACAUUUGAGCCUACAAUUUCCAUGAAGAAAUCCAGUCCAAAU
rnacentral:lncRNA from 1 species